UACGUAGGGUGCGAGCGUUAAUCGGAAUUACUGGGCGUAAAGCGAGCGCAGGCGGUUCUGUAAGUCAGAUGUGAAAUCCCCGGGCUCAACCUGGGAACUGCGUUUGAAACUACAUGGCUAGAGCAUUGGAGAGGGUAGCAGAAUUCACGGUGUAGCAGUGAAAUGCGUAGAUAUCGUGAGGAAUACCAGAGGCGAAGGCGGCUACCUGGACAAUUGCUGACGCUCAGGCACGAAAGCGUGGGGAGCAAAAGGG
rnacentral:rRNA from 1 species